rnacentral:rRNA from 1 species
AGUGAACGCUGGCGGUAGGCCUAACACAUGCAAGUCGAACGGCAGCACAGUAAGAUCGCGCCCUUACGGGUGGCGAGUGGCGGACGGGUGAGGUAUACAUCGGAAUCUUCUUUUUCUUGGGGGACAACGUAGGGACACUUACGCUAAUACCGCAUACUAUCUACGGGUGAAAGCAGGGGAUCUUCGCACUUUUCGCGUUUGAAUUAGCCGAUGUCGGAUUAGCUAGUUGGCGAGGUAAAGUCCCACCUAGGCGACGAUGCGUAGCUGGUCUGAGAGGGUGAUCAGCCACACUGGAACUGAGACACGGUCCAGACUCCUACGGGAGGCAGCAGUGGGGAAUAUUUGGCAAUGGGCGCAAGCCUGAUCCAGCCACGCCGCGUGAGUGAAGAAGGCCUUCGGAUUGUAAAACCCUUUUAUUAGGGAAGAAAAGCAGCAGGAUAAAACCCCGCUAUUUUGACGGUACCCAAAGAAUAAGCACCGGCUAACUUCGUG